CUUGCACCGGGGGCGGGGCAGGGAUUAUACAAGGCGCCUGCGCCAGAUCCUGUUCUCGGCGCCAUUUUGUCUCGGCAGCAGUGGCGGUAGCUCUUUCCCAUUUUAAGCUUCGCGAGGAGGGGAGCUGAGUCUUUACCCGGUUGAUUCGUUCUCGUGGACCAGGCGUUCACCUUCCGUCCCCAGUGAUAGCACAUUCUGCUGUAAGGAUCUGUAGAUUGGGUGAACUUCAGAAAGUCAUUCCACGUUGUUGGAGAGGUUAUCUAUUGAUGCUUGACAUUCUUGUUUAAUUGGGAUUGGGAUGCACUGGAGAUUUAUCCUGAUUUUUGUGGGGAAAAGUCAUCAAAGGCUUUUAACUGUUAGAUCUGAAUCUAUUUUCUUACUGUUUCUUGGAAUGUUUCUGGUAGG
rnacentral:lncRNA from 1 species